UGGGGAAUCUUGCCCAAUGGGCGCAAGCCUGAGGCAGCAACGCCGCGUGCGGGAAGAAGGCCCUCGGGUUGUAAACCGCUUUCAGCAGGAACGAAAAUGACGGUACCUGCAGAAGAAGGUGCGGCCAACUACGUGCCAGCAGCCGCGGUGACACGUAGGCACCAAGCGUUGUCCGGAUUUAUUGGGCGUAAAGAGCUCGUAGGCGGUUCGGUAAGUCGGGUGUGAAAACCUUGGGCUCAACCCAAGGACUGCACUCGAUACUGCUGUGACUUGAGUCCGGUAGGGGAGUGGGGAAUUCCUGGUGUAGCGGUGGAAUGCGCAGAUAUCAGGAGGAACACCGGUGGCGAAGGCGCCACUCUGGGCCGGUACUGACGCUGAGGAGCGAAAGCGUGGGGAGCGAACAGGAUUAGAUACCCUGGUAGUCCACGCCGUAAACGUUGGGCACUAGGUGUGGGCUCUUACCAACGGAGUCCGUGCCGUAGCUAACGCAUUAAGUGCCCCGCCUGGGGA
rnacentral:rRNA from 1 species